UAGUACGUGAGAAAAUGAAAGACGGAAGGAAGAAGUGUAUUUAUAAUAUUGGUACUAUAUUUAUGAUUGAUACGCGUAUCUAUGUAUACGUAGAUACAUAUAUAAGCGCAUAUAUGUAGAUAUACGCAUCUGUACGUGUGUGUAUCAUAUCAAGCAAACGAAGUUAUACAGCUAUGGGCGUGGCUAGUCGAGAGGUAGUUGCGAAUGAGCUGGGACUGAAGAUGAAUUCGACAAACAAUCUAGUUCUAGUUCAGCUUCCAUACCAGAUGAAUCAUAUCCAAGGACUAAUGGAAAGGCA